rnacentral:rRNA from 1 species
UGGAGACUGGCCACCUAAAACGUGGAGGAAGGUGGGGAUGACGUCAAGUCAGCAUGGCCCUUACUCCGGGGCUACACACGUGCUACAAUGGCCGGUACAAAGGGUUGCGAAGCCGUGAGGUGGAGCGAAUCCUCAAAAAGCCGGCCUCAGUUCGGAUUGGAGGCUGCAACUCGCCUCCAUGAAGUCGGAAUCGCUAGUAACGCAGAUCAGCUACGUUGCGGUGAAUACGUUCCCGGGCCUU